rnacentral:misc_RNA from 1 species
ACAAGUUGAAAAUGGAGAAGAUCACAAUCUAUGUAGAACACCCACGUCCCAUUGAGCCCCCAGCUGAGCCAGCUCCUCCACCGCCUCAACCUUUGAAGCUAACAAAGAAAGAGCAGAAGAAGCUUCGUACUCAACGUCGUUUGGCUCGGGAAAAAGAUAGACAGGAGAUGAUUAGGCAAGGCUUGAUUGAACCCCCAAAACCUAAAGUCAAAAUGAGCAAUUUAAUGAAAGUUCUUGGCUCUGAAGCUACUCAGGAUCCCACAAAACUUGAGAAGGAAAUCCGUAGUGCAGCUGCCGAGCGUGAACAAGCUCAUAUUGACAGGAAUAUUGCACGCAAGCUUACUCCUGCUGAGCGCCGUGAGAAGAAGGAGAAGAAGCUCUUUGAUGACCCAAAUACUGUAGAAACCAUGGUUUCUGUCUACAAAAUCAAUGACCUGUCACACAAGAAGACCCGCUUCAAAGUAGAUGUUAAUGCUCAAGAGAACCGAUUGACUGGUUGUGCUGUGAUUUUUGAAGGAAUUAAUGUCGUGGUUGUUGAAGGAGGAAGCAAAUCCAUUAAGAGGUAUGGGAAGCUAAUGCUUAGGCGCAUAAACUGGGCUGAGGCUGUGGAAGACGAAGAAGAAGAUGGAGAUGGCAAUGAGGAGAAACCUGUGAACAAAUGCAUUUUGGUGUGGCAAGGCAGUGUUGCCAAACCAAGCUUCAAUAAGUUUUCUGUACAUGAGUGUGUAACUGAAGCUGCAGCUCGGAAAGUGUUAGCUGAUGCUGGUGUUGGCCACUAUUGGGAUCUUGCCAUCAACUUCUCAGAUGAUCAAAUGUGAGUGGCGUCCUUAAUUAAAAAAUUCGUGGUCAUUAGUGAUUUUUUUUUUAGCUAGCUAAAACGUUUUGGCAGUCGAGAGUUCUCAAGUUACUUAGAUGCAUCAUUUCAGCUGAUUUUCAGUGGUGAUCUAUUGAUUUAGAGUUUAUGUAAAUUGGGCUUGGGCAGAAAAUGCAUCAAGUAUCUGUAACUUUAAAAGCUAAUACAUUGUUUUGCAAUUGAAUGGCACAUUAAGUACGAGCCUUUUU